CACUUCUCUUUAAAGCACCCUGCUAAAACUGCAGGAGCCAGGCCUCAGGUUUGGCUCAUGUGACCGUGUAAGCAUGGGUACACCAGGGAAGGAGAUUAAAGACACAGUACCUGAAAUGAGGCUGGGAGGGACCUCUUUCUUAAUGUCCAGUGUCCUUUGUCUCAGGGUUCUGUGUUACAAAU